GGAGAGAUGGUCGAGCGGUUGAAGGCGCCGGUCUUGAAAACCGGAGAAGGAGUGAUCCUUCCGUGGGUUCGAAUCCCACUCUCUCCGCCA
rnacentral:tRNA from 1 species